AAAUGUAGGAUUAUGUUGCUUUGUUUAUAAUUCAUUUUAAAACGUUUAUUGGAGCAGAUCAAGUGUUUGUUGAGAAGUUUAUUUAAAAAUAUAGCAUUAAAUAUGACUGAUAUUAGUGAUGGCUACGGUUAUGAUUCUGACCAAGACAAGAAAUAUACAUUACCUGAAAAAUCAAAAAAGAAAAAAGAAUGCAGAAUUAAAAUUCGUGGUCGUUAUAUUAACAUUCCAACCCGAUCCAAUAGCAGUGAAAGCGAAUGUGUCAGACAGAGUCAGACUUAGAAAGCCAUUUAACUAGAAACAAUCCUGGCUGCUCUACUAGCUCAUAUAAGGCUUCUAAUUCUGCAAUGCAAUUUAAAGUAAACAGCAAAACUGAGAUUAAAAAAUCUUCUCAUCCGUCUUCUGUUCAGCUGCAAACAAAUUUUAAUAGGGUGACGAAAUGCGGCAAUUUUUCAUGUGUGUGAAGCUAGCGUCCGAUCGAUUAGUGAUGGUAUAAAAGACCUGCACCUGCUCUUUUGGACCUAGUUCGCUAUUUCGGAGCGGUGCACCUGAUCCCAAAACCUAUAAUACCCAGGUGUAGGUGCACUACGGAUUUGUUAGUGUAACGUCAGAUCUUGAACCGGUUCGAAACGAAUCCGGCGUGCACCUACAGGCCAGAUCCCAACUCUCAACAGGAGCUAAAGCUAGGAUUUAGUCGGACUCGGACCGAGCAUAUUACGUUAGAGAAUUUUAUAAUGAUGGCGGUUUGGACCUGACAAUUUGUGAAAAUUAAAUUUAAAUACUUUAGUUUUUGUAAAUAAUGAAAGGAGUUAAAUUACGA